CAGAAAUUAACAAUGUAUCAUUUUUUGUUAUUAAUUCAUUUUCAAAUUGUUACAGCUGUGUCAGUCUUAUUUUCUUCCCUCAGAAAAACAAUGUGGGCAAGAGCUGUAAUACUUUUCUUUGGCAUGGUUUUACUCCACCCUAAGGUCAUUGCAUUUGAUAACUACAUGGCUGAAUUCAUUAUAGAGGGCAAUGUUACAUUUGACAUCUCGGAUGCUAUAGCAGCAAUCAUUACACAAGGGUCUCAAUUUGGGAACACGACGAUUGAACAACUUCAACUAACAGCAGAUUGCGAGAUUGUUGGGGAGUCGUCUACUUGCAACUGUACAUCAGGGUAUACCUGGAGCAACUUUGUGUGUUACCAGUUCCAGUGUUGCAAUGAUUCAUAUUGUAAUGCAAAUCUUUCUAACAUCACAGCAUUCUGCAUUCCCAAAAUGGAAGGUAUUAUUGUUGUUACGUUGUUUCUACUUUCAUCAUUUUACACUACAUUAUCAAUGUCCUAGCCC
ensembl:lncRNA